rnacentral:rRNA from 1 species
AGAGUUUGAUCCUGGCUCAGGAUAAACGCUGGCGGCGUGCCUAACACAUGCAAGUCGAACGCCCUUGCCGCAAGGUGAGGGAGUGGCGGACGGGUGAGGAACACGUGGGUUAUCUACCGGUAGGUGAGGAAUACCGGCGAGAAAUCGCCGACAAGACCGCAUACGCUUGCGAGAGCAAGCAAAGUCGCAAGACGCCUGCC